GUACACAGCUGAAUUUAUGUUCACCUCAGGUUGCUUUGGAGGUGGUUUUUGAACAGUUGAGAAACGAGUGCUGAUAAAUGAAGAGAUUAUUCCAGAUUUCUGGCCCAUGGCAGGGGAACCAUCCCAGUCAAUCUUUCUUAGAGUUGCUGCACCAAUAACUUUCGAAAAAUGUAGCCGUAAAAAUAAAACUUUUUUAAACCCAGAAUCCCCAACUUCAAAAUGAGCUCCUGUGACAAUUGCAAGAUCCUCUUCACUCUCAACAGGGGCUGUACAAAUAUGCGAGAAACUCUUCCACUGAACCUUCUCAUAGUACCUGCGUUCAGAGGAGGGAUCAGAGAUGUUGCCUAUCUGUUCGUGCUCCAGUUGAAAGGUCUUAGGAAGCGAUGAAAGAUGCUGCAAGUGAAUUGCUAAGCAGCUGCUUUUUUUCCCUUCCAAAAACAGUCGAAGGCCAGUAACUGGCUUCAUCCCUACGUCAACCGGUGUCGUAUUAACAUAAAGUUUAGGACCCAUGAAGCUGAACUGCAAAGAUGGGCUAGAUUGUUGCUUCCUAUCCGGACCCAGGGCAAGCUCACCAAACACUGGUGCCCAUUGCCUUGGAAGCUGAAAUUCCAGAAACUGAUGUAAUUCUUCUAUUGGUGGCUUGUAGCGGAUGUAGAGGUUGAUAGCAUGGGUCAAAAAUCCACUCCCAUUAAUUCCACUCAAUAGAGAAGUGAUUGGGAUGAAUGACAUUGAGAUAACAUCAGGUUCAAACUGAACAGUUUGACACCACUCACUGUGGUGCCGGCUUUUAUUUGACCCGCCUUUCCUCCUAUGUAUGAAUUUAAUUCCCGCUGUAUGGGAAUAAGAGCUGGACGGAAACUGGUCUGUGAAAGUGAAUCCAUGAUCCUUGACAAACUUUUCUGAGAUAUUCUGUCCAGUUCCAUCUACAAACAGCUUGUCUGCCAUGUCUUUUAAUUUUUUCUGUACAUCAACAGGCUCAAGAGGCGAUAAGUGCUGCUGAUCAGUAUAUGUCUGCUUCACAUAUACUAUAUCCCUUCCCCCCAUUUUGACACCAAUGACCACAUGAGUACCAUAUUUUUCUAUAAAACUUGCCAAUGCAGCAGGCUCCCAUGUUGAAGGGACAGCUUCUUUGACAUGAUCACACAGAACUACCUGGGAUUUUUCUAUUGCAAUGUUGUAAAGUGUGAUAAAAACACCAUCAAAUGCAAGAGCUUUAGUAUUGGCAGCAUCCGUCUGCCAAACUCCUGUAAAUUCAAAUGCAGCAUUGAAAUGGCCAGAAGGAAUUUUUCCAGAAAGAGAUAGUUCCUGGUUAAACUGCUCUGACAUCUGCUGGAAAGAAAGAACAUCAGAGCUGAACCUCAUGAACUCGCCUUUAUCGCAUUUGAUGGAUUUGGGGAUGUUCCGAAUGGAAAACCCGCCUGGAAUCACGAGAUCCCUGACUUUAUCAUCGUCCAACAAGAUCAAUCGAGAGGAAUUCUUCUUGCAGUACUUAAGGCUUAAAUCAGCAACUAUAUCAAAUCCCAAACCAAUAGCCUCAAUAGCAUCCUCGGCAGCUUUCUUUAAGGCCAUGUCUUCUCUUCCACUUGAUUUUCCUUCUUACAAUGGGUGGUUCAUCAGAAACCUCUUCUUGGUCUGGUGGCGGUCGCAGUGGUGGCUAUGUGCUGUGGCAAAGGGUGAAGAUGUUGUCAACUCCAUCAAGAAUCGAAUGAAUGAAUGAAUAUAGAGGAGGGAGUAGGGGACAGGUCAAACGUUGAAUUUACAAAAAUUCUUUUUUCUUUUUUCUUUAAUUAUGUGUUUUUUGCGUGUUAUAAAAAGCUUCUAGUAAAAAGAGGCCGCUGAGCUGAAGAGCAAGUCAAAGCUUUUGUGCUGCUGCUGCUGUUGCUGUUGC
rnacentral:misc_RNA from 1 species